rnacentral:tRNA from 1 species
GUAGCUUAGUCUGGUAGAGCGCCUGUCUUAUAAACAGGUGGUCGAGGGUUCAAAUCCCUCC